CAGGCCUAACACAUGCAAGUCGAACGGUGGUAGCAAUACCAUAGUGGCGCACGGGUGCGUAACACGUAACUAACCUACCUAUAACUGGGGGAUAGCCCGCCGAAAGGCGGAUUAAUACCGCAUAAGCUCUGAGGGUGGCAUCACCUUUUUAGUAAAGAUUUAUUGGUUAUAGAUGGGGUUGCGGGUCAUUAGCUAGUUGGUUGGGUAACGGCUGACCAAGGCGACGAUGACUAGGGGAGCUGAGAGGCUGGUCCCCCACACGGGCACUGAGAUACGGGCCCGACUCCUACGGGAGGCAGCAGUAGGGAAUAUUGGGCAAUGGGCGAGAGCCUGACCCAGCCAUGCCGCGUGCAGGAAGAAGGCUUUCUGAGUCGUAAACUGCUUUUGACAGGGAAGAAUAAGGCGUACGUGUACGCUGAUGACGGUACCUGCAGAAUAAGCACCGGCUAACUCCGUGCCAGCAGCCGCGGUAAU
rnacentral:rRNA from 1 species